GCCUCCAUAGUUUAAUGGUAAAACGUAGCAAUGGUAAUGCUGUGAUGUAAGUUCGAUUCUCACUGGAGGCACCA
rnacentral:tRNA from 1 species